rnacentral:ncRNA from 1 species
AUAUCGGCUGUGAAGGAGAAAAGUAGGAUAAAUACAGCUUACAGAGAGGAAAUGUCAUUGGCUGAAAGCAUUUCCAGCACAGGUUUAUCUGAAAGUUCACUCUGGAGCUAUAAAGCUGAAGUAAUAGUAGGCUUUAUCGGGUAAAACCGUUAUUUUAAUGAGUGGUUGAUUAUUCAACAAUUAGGGUGGUACCGCGGAAAAAUGCCUUCGUCCCUUUU